rnacentral:lncRNA from 1 species
GUUGUAGAUAUGCAGGAGAAGACAGACAAAUUUGCCUCUCCACUGCCAAUGUCUUCCACAUCAAAAGGAUUGAGUCAGAGAUGUCACUGGGUGGUGAUGAAGCCUGGCUGUGACUGCAUGAGCUGCUGGGACAGAGGAUGGCCUGGAGAGCUGUGUAUAAGACCAGAGAUGCCUCCCACAACUUCUGAGAAGGGCAGAGUCCCAAACUCUUACCAAAAUUCCCUGAGUCUUGCUGCCUCAGAGUGGCUCUUUCUGUGGCUCUGGUGGAGCAGAAACUACAGAGAAAUCUCUUCAGAUUGGCUCACAAACAAUAUGGGCUUCUCCCAUAUUGUCAGGUGCCCACAAUGGUCCAAACAAUGACCUCCCCCGGUUAGUAAGAUUUAAAGAACCAAAAGCUAAAUAGAUGGGUAUAACUUUUGAGAAUCUGUUUUUCUCUGCCAUAUAUGAUAUUAAGAUAAAAUUACAAGUUGUUGGCUUACAUGUAGAAGAAUGAAACUGGACCAUUCUCUUACACCAUACACAAAGAUAAACUCAAAAUGGUUGAAUAAUCUAAAUGUGAGAGAAGAAUCCAUCAAAAUUCUAGAGGAGAACACAGGCAACAACCUUUUUGAACUUGGCCACAGCAACUUCUUGAAAGAUACAUCUGUGAAGGCAACAGAAACAAUAGCAGAAAUGAACUAUUGGGACUUCAUCAAAAUAAAUAGCUUCUGCCAGUGAAGGAAACAGUCAACAAAACUAAAAGACAACCUCCAGAAUGGGAGAAGAUAUUUGCAAAUGGCAUAUCAGAUAAAGGGCCAGUAUCCAAGAUCUCUAAAGAACAAACUCAACACCCAAGAAACAAACAAUCCAGUCAUGAAAUGGGUAGAAGACAUUUCUCCAAAGAAGACCUACACAUGGCCAACAGACACAUGAAAAAAUGUUCCACAUCCCUCGGCAUCAGGGAAAUACAAAUCAAAACCACAAUGAGAUACCACCUCACACCAGUGAAAAUGGCUAAAAUUAAUAAGACAGGAAACAACAAAUGUUGGUGAGGAUAUGGAGAAAGGGGAACCCUCUUGCACUGCUGGUGGGAAUGUAAGCUGAUUCAGCCACUCUGGAACAGUGUGGAGGUUCCUCAAAGAGUUAAAAAUAGAGCUACUUUACAACCCAGCAAUUGCACUGCUGGUAUUUACCCCAAAGACACUGAUGCAGUGAAAAGCUGGGACCCUACACCCCGGUGUUCAAAGCAGCAACGUUCACAAUAGCCAAACUGUGGAAGGAGCCAAGAUGUCCUUCAAUAGAUGAAUGUAUAAAAAAGAUGUGAGAUAUAUGUAUAUAAAAUAUGUAAUAUAUUACAUUAUAAUUAUACAUAAUACAUUAUAAUAUACAUAAUAUAUUACAUAUUAUAUGUUACAUAUAAUACACACUAUGUACAUACAUACACACAAUGGAAUGUUACUCGGUCAUCAGAAAGGACAAAUACCCAUUUGCUUCAAUGUGGAUGGAACUGGAGGAUAUUAGGCUGAAUGAAAUAAGUCAAUCGGAGAAGGACAAUCAUCAUAUGGCUUCACUUAUAUGCAAGAUGUAAGCAAUAGUGAAAGGAACUAUAAGAGAAAGGAAGAAAACUGAGUGAGGAAAAAUUAGAGAGGGAGACAAACCAUGAGAGACUCCUGGGCGGGGGGGAUGGGGCGUGACUGGGUGACGGGCACUGAGGAGGGCACUUGAUGGGAUGAGCACUGGGUGUUAUACUACAUGUUGAUAAAUUGAAUUUAAAUUACAGCCUUGUAAUUUAAAGAAUCAUAGCUAUUACUUAUUUUGCUUUUCCAUAUAUGCCUAGGAUUUUAUAACCAUUAUUUAGUGAUCUCAAAACAAGCUUAUUCUAUCAUGUAAGAAAGGAAUUCAAAAAUGGGAAAUUUAAAUAACUUGCCCAAAACCCCAUGCUGAGAUUUGAAUUCAGAUGUUGAUUCCAAAAUGUGGGUCCUCAGCCAUUAUUGUUGGAACUGGCAUUGAGGUGAGAAAUAAAAUUUUAUGCCACGCCCUGAUAAUAGCUUUCUGUCACCUUGGGCAAAUGAUUUGAAAUUCUUUGACAUCUGUCCCAUUUUGAAAAUAAAAGUGGAAUCAGUUAACAUGUGAAGUCCUUUUCAGUUUUAAAUGUCUUGAUUUAGUAAUCAUAGGUAGCAUUAGUUAAUUUCAGUCACUGUUGUCUCCUUUCUACCAAAUGCAUAGUCAUGAUGAAAGCGAUGAAGCAGUCGCCGUACACGAACACUCUAACUCAUGAAUAUAUAGGAAAUAGGUGACUUAUGAACUAAGUCACUUUUGACCAUAUAGGAAAUAGAAGAAAAUAAAAUAGAUUUAAGGCAGGAAGGGACCUAAGAAUGCACCCAAUUAAAGGCCCUGAUUUUAUAAGUCAGGAAAGUUUUGGCCUAAAGAAUCUGUGACCUGUCCAAGUUAUAUAAUUAUUUUGUUGUCAGAGAUUGGACUGCAUCCAACGUCUUAGUGUGUUUUCCUUUCUACUAUGGUGUGACAGAUUCCUUUCAUGAAGAACCUAAGGUAUUGAAGAAAGACUAUAAGCAUAAAGAGUGGUACACAUAAUCAUGAAAAAAAAAAAAAACCCUGAGAAGUCUGUGUCCAAAACAAAUAAUUUAUACGUGCAUUCACUCAAGAAGCAUCAUGGACAACCUCUGUCUCAGGACUGCUUACAUCAGACAUGGUUCCUGACAACAAAGAGCUUCUUGUUUAGUAAAGGAAGCAGACAAGUAAAUAGGCUGUCACAAAGAAUCAUAAUAAAUCCUAUGGUGAAAGGAAGCACAAGAUACUCCAGGAUGAAACAUCUUAUCCAGAUCGGAUAGGUUAAAACAC